UACGGAGGGGGCUAGCGUUGUUCAGAUUUACUGGGCGUAAAGGGCGCGUAGGCGGACCAUCAAGUCAGGGGUGAAAGGCCUGGGCUCAACCCGGGAAUUGCCUUUGAAACUGAAGGUCUAGAGUCCGAGAGAGGUUAGCGGAAUUCCCAGUGUAGAGGUGAAAUUCGUAGAUAUUGGGAAGAACACCAGUGGCGAAGGCGGCUAUCUGGCUCGGUACUGACGCUGAGGCGCGAAAGCGUGGGGAGCAAACAGG
rnacentral:rRNA from 1 species